rnacentral:misc_RNA from 1 species
GAAAUGCGAUACGUAGUGUGAAUUGCAGAAUUCAGUGAAUCAUCGAAGUCUUGAACGCAUAUUGCACCUGCAAGUCCGCUUGCAGGUACGCUUGUUUCAGUGUCGACCACACAUCACCACCACAAACCCACCCUUCGGGGUGCCGGGUCGAAUGGAGGUGGAGAUGGACGUCAAGCUUGACCAGAGCUCGGUCGUCUGAAAUUCAUAGGAGACAGCAUCGAACCACUCGUGAUCCCAAAAUGGUGUGACAGCGUACUUCGUAUGAGUCCUACCGCUAGUAAGACCACAAUUCAAGAGUGAGACCUCGAAUGCUUUUGCUUCAAAGGAAAAGAAUUCAUCAAAACUUCGACCUGAAAUCAAGCGAGAAUACCCGCUGAACUUAA